rnacentral:rRNA from 1 species
AUCUACAGCCAUGCCACCUGACCGCGCCCGAUCUUGUCUGAUCUCGGAAGCUAAGCAGGAUCGGGCCUGGUUAGUACUUGGAUGGGAGAUG